GCUCUAGAUAUUUUCUGUCUCUCACUCUCUACCCCAACAGCUGUACGUCUUCUGUAGCACAAUCCUGAGAGUUCAAGAACGAUCCAGAGAGCCAUGGAGAGAAUUAGUGGGAGAGAGAUAGAGUGAGAGAGAGGUGAAAUUCAGGAAAGAUAAAGAAUUCAUCUCAGCACGAUGUUAGUUGCUCUUCAUCCCGCGACUGAUCGGAGAGGCAAACAGAGAAAGAAGUGGGAGAGGGAUCUGGGUUUUGACUACAGCCCCAAAUUUCUAAUCGGGUAUUGUUCAGUUUUGCUGUGAGGAGGAAGAGGACCUGCGUUUUGGAUAACUCUGCGUUUUGAGCCAAGGAAAAGAUGAUGGAUUUGGGUAUAGGGUUGUGAUCGAUACUUAGUUUUUGGGGCUAUGGUUCUUGCAUCAGUGAAAACUUGGUGAGCUUUCAACUAAGGUUUGUAAAAGUCCAAGCACUAAGAUACAGAAGACAACAGGACAAAUCAAUCUUUGUUUGUUUUGGAAAAGGAUCUGUUCUGUGUCUUGGACUGUUUGGUUUUAGUGAAAGCAGGUUUGGUCUAAGCAAAUUAUAAUUUGAAAACAGUUGGGACUUGAAAGUUGCAUAUAUUGAAGAAGUUGGGAAGACCAGGUUUUUUAAACUCCUAGAGGCAGUGGUUUGGGAGUUUAAGGAUUUUGCUAACCAACUCCAGCAUCUUCCGCAGCUGCAACUGAAACAAUCACCUUUUGAACAACCGGAGCUCUUACUAUUUUGAACAACUUCCAGCAGCAACUUUUACUAAAUUAACUUAUAACCUUUUUGUUGAGCUAGCAUUUUUGCACCAGCUCCAGUUGAAUGGACUUCAACUAAAAGGUAAAAUGUGUAAAAACUCUUCACUAUUUCAAUAAU